rnacentral:rRNA from 1 species
AUUGAACGCUGGCGGCAUGCUUUACACAUGCAAGUCGAACGGUAACAGGCCUUCGGGUGCUGACGAGUGGCGAACGGGUGAGUAAUGCAUCGGAACGUACCCAGAGGUGGGGGAUAACGCAGCGAAAGCUGUGCUAAUACCGCAUGUGAUCUGAGGAUGAAAGCGGGGGACCGAGCAGCAAUGUUUGGCCUCGCGCCUUUGGAGCGGCCGAUGUCGGAUUAGCUAGUUGGUGGGGUAAAGGCCUACCAAGGCGACGAUCCGUAGCUGGUCUGAGAGGACGACCGGCCACACGGGGACUGAGACACGGCCCAGACUCCUACGGGAGGCAGCAGUGGGGAAUUUUGGACAAUGGGCGCAAGCCUGAUCCAGCAAUGCCGCGUGCGGGAAGAAGGCCUUCGGGUUGUAAACCGCUUUUGGCAGGAACGAAACGGUGUCCGCUAAUACCGGGCGCUAAUGACGGUACCUGCAGAAUAAGCACCGGCUAACUACGUG